rnacentral:rRNA from 1 species
UACGGAGGAUGCAAGCGUUAUCCGGAAUGAUUGGGCGUAAAGCGUCCGCAGGUGGUUAUGCAAGUCUGCUGUCAAAGCGCAAGGCUCAACCUUGUAAAGGCAGUGGAAACUGUGUGACUAGAGAGUGAUAGGGGCAGAGGGAAUUCCCAGUGUAGCGGUGAAAUGCGUAGAGAUUGGGAAGAACACCGGUGGCGAAAGCGCUCUGCUGGGUCAUAUCUGACACUGAGGGACGAAAGCUAGGGGAGCGAAAGGG